rnacentral:tRNA from 4 species
GCGGCCGUAGCUCAAUUGGCAGAGCACCAGAUUGUGGCUCUGGGUGUUGCGGGUUCAAGUCCCGUCGGUCGCC